rnacentral:rRNA from 1 species
CCUACGGGAGGCAGCAGUGAGGAAUAUUGGUCCAUGGACGAGAGUCUGAACCAGCCAAGUAGCGUGAAGGAUGACUGCCCUAUGGGUUGUAAACUUCUUUUAUAUGGGAAUAAAAUGUUCCACGUGUGGGAUUUUGUAUGUACCAUAUGAAUAAGGAUCGGCUAACUCCGUGCCAGCAGCCGCGGUAAUACGGAGGAUCCGAGCGUUAUCCGGAUUUAUUGGGUUUAAAGGGAGCGUAGGUGGAUUGUUAAGUCAGUUGUGAAAGUUUGCGGCUCAACCGUAAAAUUGCAGUUGAAACUGGCAGUCUUGAGUACAGUAGAGGUGGGGGGAAUUCGUGGUGUAGCGGUGAAAUGCUUAGAUAUCACGAAGAACUCCGAUUGCGAAGGCAGUUCACUGGACUGCAACUGACACUGAGGCUCGAAAGUGUGGGUAUCAAACAGGAUUAGAUACCCUUGUAGUC